ACCAAAAACAUUAAUCGAUUUACCUCACGAGCAUUCGCACACUCGCAAAUCUACAAAAUACCGGUUUUCGGCAUUUCGGCUUUUCGACUUUUGCCGAUCCAGACUAAGAAAGAGGGUGUUAGUUACACACCUGUUUGCGACGAUAUGCUGACGAGAUCCACACACGAACCGCCUACAAUUGGAUUACUAACACGUUAAUCUAACUAUUCAAAUACAAACUACGUAUUAACCCCUUACAAUAUUCGGCCAACCAUACCUACAGGUCAUAGUAAGCUUAUAAGAAAUCAAUAAGCAACUCAUUAACAAAUUUUUGUCAAUGUUUACCACAUAAUCAUAAUUUCACUGCAAGCUGUCUUCCUAAGCAACAGUCACUAAAUCAUUUAUAACUGGAGCUACGAAACUCCAAAUCAAGUUCUGUUAAUUUUCCCUGAAAAUAGACUCAUAUAUCUUCUAUCCAUAAAAUUUUCAAAAUUUUUUGUUAAGCCAAUCAAUACCAGAUUUUUCUCAAAGUUUCCCAUGUUUCACUGUUUGACUAAUCUGACCACUCUUCAUUACGAAUCAAAUUUCUCAUUGUACAGAAUUCAAAAUAUGUUCUUGUUUAUUUAAUUAGAAACUAGACUCAAUAAGCUUUAAUUACAUAAUUUAUUCAGUUUCUAAUUCAUCUCCCACAAUUUAUGGUGAUUUUCCAAAGUCAUGUUACUGCUGCUGUCCCAAGCAGAUUUAUUACCAAAUCACUCUUUCAUACACCUAUCUUGCAUGCAUGUUAUUUAAACAUGUAUAUCACCAAUCAAUCAUCACAUAUCUAUGAUUUUUACUUAAGCAUAAUCUCCAUUUCAUCAUUUUAAAGCACAACAUGUUAGCCGAUUUUUCCCUUUAGCAUCUAAGGCACAUGCAUGCUCAUUUGUUUGGCUCAACUUCACAUAUCUUCCAUUUUUCAUCAAAAGAACAUGAAACAACAACCAUUUCCUUCAUUUUAAUUCAUGACCAAAUGCUCACAAUACAACCAAAAAUCAAAAUAUACUUCAAGAGUUAAGGUAGAAUCAAGAAGAACUCAUGAACCUCAAAAUAGAAGCAAGGUACCAAGAACUUACCUUCAAUUUUUCUCCUCCUAAUGACCGAAUACUCAAGAGCUUUCUCCUCUCCUUUCUCUUCUCUAACUUUCAGCUAUGAUGAACAAAGAUGGACAAAACUUUUUUCUUUUCACCCCUUUUUCUUUUAAUAAAAC
rnacentral:lncRNA from 1 species